ACUAAGUCUGACGAGGAACAUCCAGCCGCUACAUCCGUACUAAUAAUAUGGAAAAAAAAAGUUUAGAAAAAAAAAUCGGCCCAAUGUCGCGCUUCUUCGCUAUAUCGCACGGUUCCGAUUGAAUCGCGCGGUUCCGAUCGCGCGGCACCGCUAUGUCGCGCGACUUGAAAGUUCAGGUAGCAGCCAUGACGGGGAAACAGCAGGUUAAACGGAAGGUUACCGGAAAGGAACACCUGAGGCCGAAUCAAAGAAAGCUUCAGAAGGAGAUGAAAAGAAUACAAGUGUUCAAAGGACGGGGAGAGGAGAUGAAGGCGGUGCAAGCAGAGCUGACUGGAUUAAUGGACCAAAAGCUGCUGCAACUUAAAUUGAACCCAAACUCAGAAAAUCUUCAAGCCCUGAAACGCACCGGUCACAAGCUCCGAGAAGUCAACCGGCGGGCCAUACUGUGGGAUGCGCAGGUCUACGAUUACCUUAAGGGUCUGCUCGAUGAAUUAAAGCAGGCUGAUAACCAAGACAACGCCCCUCCGUCAGGUAUGUGCAAAAGCAAAAGCUGUUCAAGUUGAAAUUUUUAUGGGAUCCGUGGUAAGUCUGCGGAAAUUAGUUUGAUUACCUGUUUUUAAUUCUGGGUUUCGUUAGCUAAUUAUGAUGUUUGAUUGCUUUUGUAUUGGUGGUCUGAAACUAACAGGAGAUGGGGUUUGGAUGAUCUUUUAGUAGGCUAUUUCGUUUUUGUCUCCAGGUAUUCAAGGACGAAGUGGAAUAUUUUGAGCUGCUUCUUCAUAUGGGGGCAGGCUUUCCAUCCUGUUUGUGUGUAUGUUUGUACUCUUGUCCUAUAAGCUUUGGUUUGUCAGGGUUGAAUAUGCAGAAAACUAGUGCUCAUCGUAAUACUCGUUCACUUUACGUAAAUUAUCAUGUUAUAUAUACGUGUUGAUGUUGAUUUUGUGAACCUUUUCGUAAUAAAUAUGUUGAACUAUGAUGGUGGUAAAGAUUCUAUGUUUUACCUAUUCUAGCUAGGCUCACAUAUCUCCUACUUUUAGCAUGUGCUUUUGUUUCCUUAUCUAGAGAAUAGAUAAAGCUCGAUUGAAGGUGCUGGUGGUGUUUAUGGGAUUUUCCUUUGACAUCCUAAUCCCUAUUCCCAGCAGUAUGAUUCUAUCAUACUACCAUUUUUUAUGGGUUUAAACAUCUUAUUUACAGGGCCAACAUCCUUAAUUUGUAGAUGCCACUUCACUGGGGAAUCUUUUGGUACAUUAGUCUAUCUUGUUUUACUCAUACGAGUGUUGAUUGUAACCUUUAAUGGAAAAAAAGUAAGUUGAAGAGUACUUAAAGGAGAGGUCAUUAAGAGUGUGAUUUACUAAUGAUGUAAUGGUCCCAAGAUUGAUGGGAUUGUAAUU